CUCUGCUACGGAUUGUGUAGCUUUUGUUUAGGUCAGAUUUGUUGCAUCCUUCUUCACAUCUUUUAGGGUUUUUUUCUUUUAUUACUUUUUUGAUUUGGGUCUGUUGUGAUGAGAAUGUACACUCUCUCACCGAUGGCUUGUGGAAGCUCAGCUUUGACAUCCAUAUGCCAUAUGACAUCCAUCCGAGCCUUCUAGACCCGCCAAAGUCCAGUAACUUCAUGUGUACAAGUUCAACAAGCGCGAUAGUGGAAGCCCUGCCUACCUACGAUUGAGGCAUAAAUCGGUCAAUGCCCUCAGCGAUCUAGUCCCUUUUAGUAACAAGGUGCAUUGGAGAAGAUUUUCAGCAUCAUCAAAGAGGAAGGAGGAGGUUCUGAGGAAGGAGGUCUAGAAGAAUUUUCAAAGUUGUGUUUUGUAAUUUAUAUAUUAUAAUUUUGUGUUUGUU